CCUACGGGAGGCUGCAGUGAGGAAUUUUGGUCAAUGGGCUUACGCCUGAACCAGCCAAGUCGCGUGAGGGAAGACUGCCCUAUGGGUUGUAAACCUCUUUUGUCAGGGAGCAACGCCGGCUACGUGUAGCCGGACUGAGAGUACCUGAAGAAAAAGCAUCGGCUAACUCCGUGCCAGCAGCCGCGGUAUUACGGAGGAUGCGAGCGUUAUCCGGAUUUAUUGGGUUUAAAGGGUGCGUAGGCGGAAUGCCAAGUCAGCGGUAAAAGCGCGGGGCUCAACCUCGCUCCGACGUUGAAACUGGCGUUCUUGAGUGGGCGAGAAGUAUGCGGAAUGCGUGGUGUAGCGGUGAAAUGCAUAGAUAUCACGCAGAACUCCGAUUGCGAAGGCAGCAUACCGGCGCCCAACUGACGCUGAAGCACGAAAGCGUGGGUAUCGAACAGGAGUAGAUACCCUAGUAGUC
rnacentral:rRNA from 1 species